AGGCUGGACUGGACCGGAUGGCUGAUGGCCACAUGCUGGCUGACGUUGUAGCGAUAAUCGGUACCCAAGACAUUGUAUUUGGUGAAGUGGACCGAUAGCCCAUCGCUGAGUGAGUUUUUCGGUGGAUCGCACUUGCUCACCAUCCCCCUGUGAGGCUGCAGAGAGUUCUGCAGUUACGUGAACCCAAUUGGCACGUGCCUGUAUCUGUCUCUGUCUGUGUGUGUGUGUCUGUGUGUGUCUCUCUCUCUCUCGCCCGGUCAGCUGUUACCAGCAGUUAGUAAUAAAAGGUGAGAGUCUUCUGACCCACGCAUCUUUAUUCCAAAA